CCUUACACCUUUACACCGCCUGAAAACCGCCGACUUGUCACCUCCCCGAGAUGAAAGACACCGAGACCACCGGUGGGUCAAAGGCGACAACAAAGCAUCCGAAGCCUUGGUGGUCUCCGAUUGGAUGUCGGUCGGGAAGACAGACUCACUGCGCCGUUAAAAAUCAACUGAUGAGGAGAUGAUGACGAGGAAUGUGGACAAGAUAAAAAGUGCUCAUCACUCUGAUCACGUGAUGACAAGAUGCUGGAGUUAUCUGUUAUGAGACUGACCACAUGCCUCAUGUGUUGAGCAGACCCGAGUUGGAAACGAUCAGAAAAUACCUGGUGUAGAUAAAAUACGUUCUGCCCAUGGGAUGUCUGGUCCAUCCAGCGAUUCAGACCUUCAAAAAGUACACCAGCCGUCUUCUUGUGGGGUCCGCGUCUUCCUAAGGUCCCAGUUCUGAGAACUUGACAGAAAAGAACGAGUAGACGACGUUAUCUGUGACGUAAAAGUUGUCCAGGUGUACCUCCGAGCGCACAGAAAGGAUCUGUUUUCUUAUGAUACAGACCAGGAGACUGGGACUUUCGUUUACAUAAGAUAUGACUGUGUGCAAUGAAUCAUGAAUAUAAUGAUUAGAAACACCAUUCAGAACAGGCAAGUCAAGCCAAAAGCAAACAAAUCAACACAGUGACCAGAUAACAAAUUCUUCGUGUUGCUCAAGAACACCGAAACCUUAUA